UGGGGAAUCUUCCGCAAUGGACGAAAGUCUGACGGAGCAACGCCGCGUGGGUGACGAAGGUUUUCGGAUCGUAAAACCCUGUCAAGAAGGAAGAAAAAAGACGGUACUUCUGAAGGAAGCCCCGGCUAACUACGUGCCAGCAGCCGCGGUAAUACGGGGGGUGCAAGCGUUGUCCGGAAUCAUUGGGCGUAAAGCGUUCGUAGGCGGUAUAUCAAGUCUGGUGUUAAAGCCCGGGGCUCAACUCCGGUUCGGCACUGGAUACUGGUAAACUAGAAUGCGGUAGAGGUAAGGGGAAUUCCUGGUGUAGCGGUGAAAUGCGUAGAUAUCAGGAGGAACAUCGGUGGCGAAAGCGCCUUACUGGGCCGUAAUUGACGCUGAGGAACGAAAGCCGGGGGAGCAAAUG
rnacentral:rRNA from 1 species